rnacentral:rRNA from 1 species
GACGAACGCUGGCGGCGUGCCUAAUACAUGCAAGUCGAACGCUUCUUUUUCCACCGGAGCUUGCUCCACCGGAAAAAAAAGAGUGGCGAACGGGUGAGUAACACGUGGGUAACCUGCCCAUCAGAAGGGGAUAACACUUGGAAACAGGUGCUAAUACCGUAUAACAAUCGAAACCGCAUGGUUUUGAUUUGAAAGGCGCUUUCGGGUGUCGCUGAUGGAUGGACCCGCGGUGCAUUAGCUAGUUGGUGAGGUAACGGCUAACCAAGGCCAAGAUACAAUGCCCACCGGCAAGGGUGAUCGGCCACAUUGGGACUGAGACACGGCCCAAACCACUACGGGAGGCAGCAGUAGGGAAUCUUCGGCAAUGGACGAAAGUCUGACCGAGCAACGCCUCGUGAGUGAAGAAGUUUUUCGGAUCGUAAAACUCUGUUGUUAGAGAAGAACAAGGAUGAGAGUAACUGUUCAUCCCUUGACGGUAUCUAACCAGAAAGCCACGGCUAACUACGUGCCAGCAGCCGCCGUAA